CUAAGAAUUCAAGAUUUAAAAUCCCUGCAAUUCUAGAGCCUCUAGCUCAAUUCUCUAUCGCUGACGUGGCAAUAUAAUUCCACAUAAGUUUUAUUUAUAUUAUUCCACUCUAAUUAAGUUACGGUUUAGGUGAAACCUAAUUCACUAAUCUUUGAACCUCCUUACGCACACUAUCGCCCACCUCCCAGCCAACCAUCGCCAGUCGCUGUCCUGUCGCCGCGAUACAGACGUCGUCCUCCGCCCCGUGAUUCAGAUGCCGUCACUGCCUUCUGUGCGAAUCCAGCCGCGCCGUCCUCCACCUCCGCCUUUAUGUGGUCGUGCCUCCAGCCGCCUCUGCGCGAAUCCAGCCGCGCGGUCCUCCGCUUUCUCCAACCGCCCAUGGCAUCACCAUAGCCAUCAGCAUAGGCCGACGAUUCCCCAAUAUCCGACGCCAUAUCUCCCACCAGAAAUCCUCCCAACAAUCCCGCCCCCAAUCCCAACCCUAAUCUGCCGCCCAUUCUCAUCUUAUUCUUCUUCGGCCUCUUUAAGUCCGGAUCUGAAAGAGGAGGGAGAGGCUGGGCUUGGCGGCUUGAUGAGAUAACCCGUCGAUUUUUUUAUUUUUGAAAAAUGCCCUGUGAUUUUUAUUUCUGUUUCAUUGUAGUCUUACUGACUGAAGAACUCUUCCUCUCUCGCUCUUCACAUCUCUCAGAUCUAGCGGGGGUGAAAUCCCUGCCACCAACCUCCGAGGAAUUCGCUAAACAUUCCAGGUUGCCGCCAGUUUCUCGCUGCUGCUGACGCAAUCGCCUCUGUCUGCUUCUCUUCGUACGCCGCCACUCGGCCGUCGGGCUAGAAAUCGCCAUCACCGCCGCUGCCCACCUCCUCUGCCAUGUUAAGUAUAAUAAGUAUUCUAUUAGGAAAGAUUAUAAUUGUAAAUAUAGAAUUAUUAGGGCUCUACUUUAGAAAGAACAAAUUUUGGUAAAUGUUUAGCAAUGGAAACUUUAAAACCUAGAUUUUUAGUUAUAAAUUUAUUAGUUCACACCAUUCAGCCGGCCCGCCUCCAGCCUCUGCAUCAUCUUUCACUCCUCAGUCUUCAAGUAACAGCUUAAACCCUCAAAUUUUAUGUAGUCUCGAAUGUUGUAGGGCAGAUGUUUGUAGCUAAAGCUAGAAUUUUCAUAGGACCACAGAGUAAGCUUAUUUCGACUGGAAUCUUUUCAUUAGUUUGUUUGUUUGUUUUUUCUAUAACAGUGAUGAUUUUGCGGGGUUAUUUUGAUUCAAUUUUUUGUUUCAGUGCGCUGUCAAUUUGUGCUCCCCUUUUAUAUAGAAAUCAGAAUAUGUUUUUAAUUGGUUUACCUAGAGUUGCAAAUCUUGUGAUUGUGAUGCUUGGUGUGAUAUUUUUGGUAGAUCUUAGCAAUUAAGGAAAGAAAUGGCGAUGUCGGUUGAAGGUGAGGGAGAAAGUGUGAAGAUUGUGACAUGAAGCAAGAGACGCAGAAGCCGCGUUGCUGCCGCGGCGGUAAGCUAUAAAAGGUAACUGUUAACGGUUUACUAAGAAUUCUUAAAAAAAAUGAAGCUGGUAUAGCUGUGAUCGGGCACGUGGGGCUCACACCGCAGGCAAUCAGUGCUCUUGGAGGGUUCAGACCUCAAGGCAGAAACAUCGACAGUGCUGUAAAGGUUGUGGAGACUUCAAUGGCGUUGCAAGAAGCAGGGUGCUUUGCAGUAGUGUUGGAAUGUGUUCCUCCACCUAUGGCGGCCGCAACAACAUCAGCGCUUCAGAUCCCCACCAUCGGCAUUGGGGUCGGACCUUUUUUGUAGUGGUCAAGAUGUCGACGUCGAGAAACAGCAUCGCCCCUACCUCUCAAGCCUCUAUGGGUAUUCGAUGGGUAGCGGGUGGCGGGUAUCCAACAUGUAGUGGGUUGGUGGAUGCCCGACGGGUGGCGGGUAUCCGCGGGUCACGGUAUGGGUGGCAAAUAGUAGUGUACAAGAAGUUAAAAUUUUCUCUAAAAUUUGUUGGAGUUUCGUGGUGAUUUAUUUGUUGGGUGGUUGAUUGCAAGAUCUCGACACCGAGGGUAUCCGACGGUUGACGGGUAUCCGACGGAUAGCGGGUGGAGAAUACCCGAUGGGUGGCGGGUAUUCGCGGGUGGCAAAUAAUUUUUUCGAAUAUACAUUUCGCUAAGUCAUGUUAGGGAUAAAAGUCUUCUUUAAUUUAUUUUUUUCAUUUUAGUUUGAUAUGUAAUGUAGAUUUAUGUCAUGUUAACACUUAUUUUAUUGAAUAAUAUUCAUCAUUUAUAAAUAUAUUAUGAAA